rnacentral:lncRNA from 1 species
AUGGGUUGGCUUAGGCAUACGGAGUUCAUCCCCAGUCUAAGCAUACAGAGUUCAUUCCCAGUCUAAGAUCGAACCGGACCGAGGGUUGCGAUAGUAGGUUCGACAGCACGCAGAGGGGACCGGACCGAUCCUCGACUUAUGAAUUUUGCCUCUUCGAUCGGCUUAGUGCCCGCACGACCAUUUUGUGGGUUUGCUUAGGCAUAGGGAGUUCAUUCCAUGUCUAAGCCCCAGCUGGAUCGAGG